CCUGGUAGUUCAGACGGUAAAGCCUCUGCCUACAAUGCAGGAGACCUGGGUUCAAUCCCUAGGCCAGGA
rnacentral:tRNA from 1 species